rnacentral:ncRNA from 1 species
UCUACUAGGGGUGCCCUGUAAUCAGGCUGAGAGAAAACGCUAAGUUUUUAACCCUUUGGACCUGAUCUGGAUCAUACCAGCGUAGGAAAGUAGUCU